ACCGCCCCCCUCCCGCGCGGCGCAAACAUGGCGGCGGCUGGCACCGGCCGCUGAGGCGGUAACCCGGCGGGGGCUGUUGGUUGUCAUGGGCGGCGACGGCGGCACCGCCCCCGCGUCUCCCUGAGCGGGACGGCAGAGGAGGCGUGGGGCUUGGGGGGGUGGUCUUCUGCGCCGAGCCGGGCGAUGGACGGAAGCGGCGAGCUGGGCGGUCUGGAGACCAUGGAGACGCUGACGGAGCUGGGCGACGAGCUGACCCUGGGGGACAUCGACGAGAUGCUGCAGUUUGUCAGCAAUCAAGUGGGCGAGUUCCCUGACUUGUUCUCAGAGCCUCUCUGCGGCUCCUUCCCCGGCGGUGGCGGUGGCGGUGGCGGCGGCGGUGGCGGCGGCGGUGGCGGCGGCAGCAGCAGCAGCGGUGGUGGAGCUGGGAGCGGGGACCCCUCCGGGCAGCGGCCUUUCAGUCAGGUCCCGCUGCCGGCCUUCUCCCCCUCGGCCACCUCCCCGCAGGCUGCAACCCUCCAGGUCAAGGCGCCCGCCGCCUCGGGUCCCACCCAGCCAAGGGCGGCCCCGGUUCUGCAGCCCCGCCCCCAGCCGCAGCCCCCGCCCCCUGCCCCGCUGCCGCCGCAGACCGUCAUGAUCACCCCGACCUUCAGCACCGCUCCGCAGACGAGGAUCAUCCAGCAGCCCGUCAUCUACCAGAAUGCAGCUACCAGCUUUCAAGUCCUUCAGCCGCAAGUUCAGAGCCUAGUGACCUCCUCCCAGGUGCAGCCAGUCACCAUCCAGCAGCAGGUGCAGACGGUGCAGGCCCAGCGGGUGCUGACGCAGACGGCCAAUGGCACGCUGCAGACCCUGGCCCCGGCCACGGUGCAGACAGUGGCUGCGCCCCAGGUGCAGCAGGUCCCGGUCCUGGUACAGCCUCAGAUCAUCAAGACAGACUCCCUUGUCCUGACCACACUGAAGACAGAUGGCAGCCCUGUGAUGGCCGCAGUCCAGAACCCCGCCCUCACUGCCCUCACCACCCCCAUCCAGACAGCUGCCCUGCAAGUUCCGACCCUGGUGGGCAGCAAUGGGACCAUUCUGACCACGAUGCCUGUGAUGAUGGGACAAGAGAAAGUGCCCAUUAAGCAGGUCCCCGGGGGAGUCAAGCAGCUCGAGCCUCCCAAGGAAGGAGAAAGGCGGACGACACACAACAUCAUCGAGAAGCGGUAUCGCUCCUCCAUCAACGACAAAAUCAUUGAGUUGAAGGACCUGGUCAUGGGGACUGAUGCCAAGAUGCACAAGUCUGGCGUUCUGAGGAAGGCCAUUGACUACAUCAAAUACUUGCAGCAGGUCAAUCAUAAACUGCGCCAGGAGAACAUGGUGCUGAAACUGGCAAAUCAGAAGAACAAACUCCUGAAGGGCAUCAACCUGGGCAGCCUGGUGGACAAUGACAUGGACCUGAAGAUCGAUGACUUUAAUCAGAAUGUCCUUCUGAUGUCGCCUCCGGCCUCCGACUCAGGGUCCCAGGCCGGCUUCUCCCCCUACUCCAUCGACUCAGAGCCGGGAAGCCCUCUACUGGAUGAUGCAAAGGUCAAAGAUGAGCCAGACUCUCCUCCCGUCGCGCUGGGCAUGGUGGACCGCUCUCGUAUCCUGCUGUGUGUCCUCACCUUCCUCUGCCUCUCCUUUAACCCCCUGACCGCUCUGCUGCAGUGGGGCGGGGCCCACGACGCAGACCAGCACCCGCACUCAGGCCCUGGCCGCAGCAUGCUGUCGCUCGAGUCAGGCUCCAGGGGCUGGCUCGACUGGAUGAUGCCGACGCUGCUCCUGUGGCUGGUGAAUGGCGUGAUCGUGCUGAGCGUCUUUGUGAAGCUGCUGGUUCAUGGGGAGCCGGUGAUCCGGCCGCACUCGCGCUCCUCAGUCACCUUCUGGAGGCACCGGAAGCAGGCAGACCUGGACCUCGCCCGGGGGGACUUUGCCGCGGCUGCGGCCAAUCUGCAGACCUGCCUGUCGGUGCUGGGCCGGGCCCUGCCCACCUCCCGCCUGGACCUGGCCUGUAGCCUCUCCUGGAACGUGAUCCGCUACAGCCUGCAGAAGCUGCGCCUGGUGCGCUGGCUGCUCAAGAAGGUCUUCCAGCACCGGCGGGCCGCCCCAGCCACUGCUGCGGGCUUUGAGGAGGAAGCGAAGACCAGCGCCCGGGACGCAGCCCUGGCCUACCACAGGCUGCACCAGCUGCACAUCACAGGCAAGCUUCCCGUGGGAUCUGCCUGUUCUGACGUACACAUGGCCUUGUGUGCGGUGAACCUGGCUGAAUGUGCCGAGGAGAAGAUCCCACCGAGCACGCUGGUGGAGAUCCACCUGACUGCUGCCAUGGGGCUCAAGACCAGGUGUGGAGGCAAGCUGGGCUUCCUGGCGAGCUACUUCCUCAGCCGCGCCCAGAGCCUGUGUGGCCCCGAGCGCAGUGCCGUCCCCGACUCGCUGCGCUGGCUCUGCCAUCCCCUGGGCCAGAAGUUUUUCAUGGAGCGGAGCUGGUCGGUGAAGUCGGCUGCCAAGGAGAGUCUGUACUGUGCACAGAGGAACCCAGCCGACCCCAUUGCCCAGGUGCACCAGGCCUUCUGUAAGAACCUGCUGGAGCGAGCUGUGGAGUCCUUGGUAAAACCUCAGGCCAAGAAGAAAGCUGCAGACCAGGAAGAGGAGAGCUGUGAAUUCUCCAGUGCUCUCGAAUACCUGAAAUUACUUAACUCUUUUGUGGACUCCGUGGGGAUUGUGACCCCCCCCUUCUCUAGCAGCUCCGUGCUCAAGUCGGCCCUUGGCCCAGACGUCGUCUGUCGGUGGUGGACGUCCGCCAUCACCAUGGCCAUCAGCUGGCUCCAGGGAGAUGACGCUGCUGUGCGCACUCACUUCACUGAAGUGGAGCGAGUCCCCCAGGCCCUGGAAGUGACAGAGAGCCCCCUGGUGAAGGCCAUCUUCCACACCUGCAGAGCCAUGCACGCCUCGCUCUCUGGGAAGGCAGACGGGCAGCAGAGUUCCUUCUGCCACUGCGAGAGGGCCAGUGGCCACUUGUGGAGCAGCCUCAACGUCAGUGGGGCCACCUAUGACCCUGACCUCAACCAUGUGGUCCAGCUGCUGACCUGUGACCUGCUCCUGUCGCUGCGGACAGCGCUGUGGCAGAAGCAGGCCGGAGCCAGCCAAGCCCUGGGGGAAACCUACCACGCAUCGGGCGCCGAGCUGGCUGGCUUCCAGCGGGAUCUGGGCAGCCUGCGCAGGCUGGCACACAGCUUCCGCCCGGCCUACCGCAAGGUGUUCCUGCAUGAAGCCACCGUGCGCCUGAUGGCGGGAGCCAGCCCCACCCGCACCCACCAGCUGCUGGAGCACAGCCUGCGCCGGCGCACGGCUCAGAACGCCAAGCACGGAGAGGCGGACGCCUGGCCCGGACAGCGAGAGCGGGCCACUGCCAUCCUCCUGGCCUGCCGCCACCUCCCCCUCUCCUUCCUGUCCUCCCCGGGCCAGCGGGCCGUGCUGCUGGCUGAGGCUGCCCGCACCCUGGAGAAGGUGGGCGACCGGCGCUCAUGCAACGACUGCCAGCAGAUGAUUGUCAAGCUGGGGGGCGGCACCGCCAUCGCCGCCUCCUGACCACGGGGCUCUGCCCACCUCGGUCGCCGCCUCCCUUGGUCACUCUCCAGUUCCCUCUGUCUCUGAGUCUCCUCUGUCUCUGAGUCUCUCCCUCCUCCCUCUGUCUCUCUCUCCUCCCUCCGUCUCUCUCCCUCCUCCUCUCUCUCUGAGUCUCUCCCUCCUCCCUCUGUCUCUCCCUCUUUGUUUGUCUCUCAGUCUCUGCCUCCUCCUCUGUCUCUUGUGUCUCUCUCCUCUUCCCUGUGGGAGCUGAGGGACAAACCUUGGCUUUGGAGCGGUCACCUGCCGAGGCUUCUGGACCACCUCUGGCUAGUGGGCCCCUGGGAGCUGCUGCGGAGAGAGGCCCCAGUGGGCCUGAGCGGGAAAGAUAGGGCGGGCAGGAAAUGGGGGUUCCCUGACUUGAAAGUGGCAGGGGGAGCUCCCAGGCUGCCCAGUCCCACCUCCAGCCCUCCCAGGACUCUUUUUUUCCUCUGAAAAUCUCCCCACUCCCUUUUCCUGCUUCCUUGUUUUUUUUUUAAUCAGGCUUUCCCUCUGCGGGACAUAGGUCUCUGGGCACCAUGCGCUCCACACGUGGCGCUGUGCCCAGCACACCCCCCUUUUAUAUGAAUGUUUUUAUAUCUGUGUGCUUGGAGUUGCCGUGAUGCAAGGCUGAGUUGCUGUGGCAUCUUUAUUUCUCUCCCCGGGUCCACGUCCCCUCCCCUGUACCUGACAAAGUGAAUUCAUUGUUUUCUCUUCAUUACACAGGACAGCCAGGGGAGGAGCGAGCCCAGCCCUGGGGAGGUGGGUGGGAGGCGGGGGGCAGGCUUGGGGAUGGGUGAAAUUGUGUUGGCAUUAUUUUUUAAUUUUUUUAAAAAAUAAAUGGUCUUAUUUAAUUGUCCUGUUCCUUCCCACUCCCCCGCCCCCUGGGAUGUCAGCCCAGUCUCGGGGUACACCCCCAGGGGGCUGGGAGAGAGAGUCACCCACCAGGACUGAGGACCAGGGGCCUUCAGUGUGGGUUCUCCGCUCUCUUGGGCUCCCUCCCACCCCAACUCCUACCUCCACGGUCUAUUUUUAUCCCUAAUUCUUGACCUGAACAUAAGCCAGGCUGGCAGGGACCAGACCCCAACCCGUCCCCAGACAAGCCCCUUUUUGAGGUGGGCACAGGGUUGCCCGAGGUGGGUACUAGGAUCAAAGCCCCCUUCCUUGAGGGGGUCCUGUGAGGAAGAGUGGCCCCACUUUUCUGGAUGCCCAGGCUUGGCAUCUACCUGGGGCCUGAGGGCUGCCUGGCACCCGGGGCCUGCGGGGAGGCCAGGAGGGGCUGCCCUCCUCCCUCCCUGUGCCUCUCACCCCCUUGGGCUGGUUGGGGCAGAAAGUGGGCAGGGGCCCCAGCACAGACUGAGGGUACAAACAGCAAGGGCUCCCCUCAUGCCGAGAGCAGGCUUCACCCACGAGCUUGGACCUCACCCACUUUUUCUCUUCUGCCCCCACCUUAAUUUAUGGCCCCUGCCCCCUGGGUGAGCCAGCCUUUGUGUCAUGUGUAUAUACCGUGCCUUUUCUCAUGAUGGUUUCGGGGGGGAGGGGGUGGGUUUUUCACUGAAACGUGGGCAAUGCCUGUGGCUUCCUUGAUAUGGAAUCAUUCACUGUGUCCUGGAUGUAGGUUAUUGAAUAAACACAGAUUGGUACCACCUGG